UAGGGAAUCUUCGGCAAUGGACGAAAGUCUGACCGAGCAACGCCGCGUGAGGGAAGAAGGUCUUCGGGUCGUAAAACUCUGUUGUUAGAGAAGAACAAGGACGUUAGUAACUGAACGUCCCCUGACGGUAUCUAACCAGAAAGCCACGUCUAACUACGUGCCAGCAGCCGCGGUAAUACGUAGGUGGCAAGCGUUGUCCGGAUUUAUUGGGCGUAAAGCGAGCGCAGGCGGUUUCUUAAGUCUGAUGUGAAAGCCCCCGGCUCAACCGGGGAGGGUCAUUGUAAACUGGGGGACUUGAGUGCAGAAGAGGAGAGUGGAAUUCCAUGUGUAGCGGUGAAAUGCGUAGAUAUAUGGGGGAACACCAGUGGCGAAGGCGGCUCUCUGGUCUGUAACUGACGCUGAGGCUCGAAAGCGUGGGGAGCAAACAGG
rnacentral:rRNA from 1 species